AUGGACGAUAACAUGCUUGCUGGCCUGCUGGCGGGCGCCGGCCUCCCCGCGCGGCCGCCGGGCGGCGACACGCCGCUCCCCGACUCGUCGGAGCAGAUCUACAUCGCCCCCGUCGCGCUCCUCAAGAUGCUCAAGCACGCGCGCGCCGGGGUGCCGAUGGAGGUGAUGGGGCUGAUGCUGGGGGAGUUCGUGGACGAGUACACGGUGACGGUGGUGGACGUGUUCGCGAUGCCGCAGAGCGGCACGGGCGUGAGCGUGGAGGCCGUGGACCACGCCUUCCAGACCAACAUGAUGGACAUGCUGCGGCAGACGGGGCGGCCGGAGAUGGUGGUGGGCUGGUACCACUCCCACCCGGGCUUCGGCUGCUGGCUCUCGGCCACCGACGUGCAGACGCAGCUGAGCUUCGAGCAGCUCAACCCGCGCGCCGUCGCCGUCGUGCUCGACCCCAUCCAGAGCGUCAGGGGCAAGGUGGUCAUGGACGCCUUCCGCCUCAUCAACCCGGCGGCGAUGCUCACGGGCCACGAGCCGCGCCAGACCACCUCCAACGUCGGCGGCACCGUGCGCCCCUCCGUGGAGGCGCGCGUCCACGGCCUCGGCGUGCACUACUACUCGCUCGCCAUCGGGCACCGCCAGAACGAGGUCGAGGAGCGCAUGCUCGCCUGCCUCAACCGCAAGCGCUGGUCCGACGGGUUCGUCCUGCAGAGGUUCGAGGACGCCGAGAACGCCGGCGCCGUGAGCGGGAUGCGGGACCUCGCGGUGCAGUACGACGCGCAGGUCAGGGAGGAGGACGUGACGCCGCCGGAGAGGCUGGCCGUGGUGAGGGCGGGCAGGCCGGACGCCAAGAAGCAGCUCGGGGAGAGAGCCGAGGCCGCCAUGUCCGGCAACAUCGUGCAGACGCUGGGCAUGAUGCUCGACACGGUCACCUUCUAG
rnacentral:rRNA from 1 species